GCGCGUAAAUUGCCCGAAUCCUAACACAGGAAAAUAAUGACAAGAAAUAACAAUACAGGACUCUUCAAGUCUUAUAAUUGAAAUGAGUACAAUUUACAUCUCUUCACGAGGAUCAAUUGGAAAACAAGUCUGGUGCCAGCAGCCGCGGUAAUUCCAGCUCCAAUAACGUAUACUAAAGUUGUUGCAGUUAAAACGCUCGUAGUCGGAUUUCGGGGCGGGCCCGCCGGUCUGCCGAUGGGUAUGCACUGGCGGGCGCGUCCUUCCUCCCGGAGACGGCUGCUACUCUUAACUGAGCGGUGGCCGGAGACGGGAUAUUUACUUUGAAAAAAUCAGAGUGUUUCAAGCAGGCAGUCGCUCUUGCAUGGAUUAGCAUGGGAUAAUGAAAUAGGACUCUGGUGCUAUUUUGUUGGUUUCGAGCACCGGAGUAAUGAUUAACAGGGACAGUCAGGGGCACUCGUAUUCC
rnacentral:rRNA from 1 species